UGAUCCAGUCCUUGCCUCAGGUGAUCAAUCAGUGGUUCAGGCCAUGACUCAACAAUUCCCAUACACAGGCAUUUAAGCAAUGGGUGCUUUUACAGCUACGGUUUUCCACUCGAUGCUGCUGUUGGAGUGGAUUGCUGAGCUUUGUUUUGUCAGCAAGGUGACACACGGACUCAUCUGAGCAGAGACAGCGAUAACUGACAGGAGGAUUGCUUGUUUGAAGAACUGGGCUCAGAGGAGUGCGCUCCAUGAAUUCUCCAAGCAGAAGCCACAGUGUGUGAAUGUGUUCCAUCUCCUCCUGUGUCCUCCGUGUGCAGCUCCCUGCUCCUUCUCUGUCUUAGUUAGAAGGUGAAAGCUUCCACUGCCACUGCUAAAACACCAGAAAAAAGUUUUAUUGCUUCAGUCAGCAACUUCUCCACUAGAUCAGUUUGAGAACAUGCCAGCAGAAGUAAGACUUAGCUGCUUCUGAUAACUUACUGAUGAGAAACCGUCUUCAGGCUCUUCUCAUACAUUAACAUGGCUGCUUGCUUCACUUAUUUUCCUGUAUUCUCUUUGGGAUACACAGAAAAUAAGGCUAUAAUAAUGUUGUCCUCUCUUGUCUUCUUUCACAAACAUUAAUCCCAUGAUUUUUUAUCAGUACAAAAUAACCCUGGAGAUAGGGCAGUCUGUGGAUCAGCUUGUAUGAAACUAGAAAACUGAAAUUAUUAUGUUUAAUUGUGUGUGAAAGUCAACUUUUGUCAAAAUCUCUAGCUGUGACUGGGUUCUUACAAAAUGCAAUGUAUUCUUUUCUUUAGCAGAUCACCUAAACGCAUUUUACUAGCAACCCUUCUGAACCAGAUGAAACUGUAAUUCAAGCUGUCUUGUCUGCUUCUGCUUUAGUUCACAAUAAUGUCACCAUGCAGCUCACACCAAAGACUUUAGUUUUUGUUUGGACAGCCACAUCAAGUAUUUUGUCCUAGUUUUUCUGCAGAUCAUUACUGAUAAGGUAGCUUCUCUAAAAUAAUAAAAUCCACAACCUUCCA